rnacentral:rRNA from 1 species
GACGAACGCUGGCGGCGUGCUUAACACAUGCAAGUCGAACGGAAAGGCCCUGCUUUUGUGGGGUGCUCGAGUGGCGAACGGGUGAGUAACACGUGAGUAACCUGCCCUUGACUUUGGGAUAACUUCAGGAAACUGGGGCUAAUACCGGAUAGGAGCUCCUGCUGCAUGGUGGGGGUUGGAUAGUUUCGGCGGUUGGGGAUGGACUCGCGGCUUAUCAGCUUGUUGGUGGGGUAGUGGCUUACCAAGGCUUUGACGGGUAGCCGGCCUGAGAGGGUGACCGGCCACAUUGGGACUGAGAUACGGCCCAGACUCCUACGGGAGGCAGCAGUGGGGAAUAUUGCACAAUGGGCGGAAGCCUGAUGCAGCAACGCCGCGUGGGGGAUGACGGCCUUCGGGUUGUAAACCGCUUUCGCCUGUGACGAAGCGUGAGUGACGGUAAUGGGUAAAGAAGCACCGGCUAACUACGUG